AGCAGCCGCGGUAAUUCCAGCUCCAAUAGCGUAUAUUAAAGUUGUUGCAGUUAAAAAGCUCGUAGUUGAACUUCGGGGUCAGUAGGUUGGUCGUGCCACUGGUAUGCACUGGCCUCACUGAUUCCUCCCUCUUGUAGAACCGUAAUGCCAUUAAGUUGGUGUUGCGGGGAAACAGGACUGUUACUUUGAAAAAUUAGAGUGUUUAAAGCAGGCUAACGCUUGAAUACAUUAGCAUGGAAUAAUGAAAUAGGACGAUCGAUCCUAUUUUGUUGGUUUCUAGGAUUGACGUAAUGAUUAAUAGGGAUAGUUGGGGGCAUUAGUAUUCAAUUGUCAGAGGUGAAAUUCUUGGAUUUAUUGAAGACUAACUACUGCGAAAGCAUUUGCCAAGGAUGUUUUCAUUAAUCAAGAACGAAAGUUAGGGGAUCGAAGACGAUCAGAUACCGUCGUAGU
rnacentral:rRNA from 1 species